rfam:Loxodonta africana unplaced genomic scaffold scaffold_7, whole genome shotgun sequence.
GCCCUGGUAGCACAAUGGUUAAGCACUUGGCUACUAACCAAAAGGUUGGUGGUUCAAACCUACCCAGGGGCU